UCUUGAUGGUAGUGUAUUGGACUACCAUGGCAAUGACGGGUGACGGAGAAUUAGGGUUCGAUUCCGGAGAGGGAGCCUGAGAAACGGCUACCACAUCUAAGGAAGGCAGCAGGCGCGCAAAUUACCCAAUCCUAACUCAGGGAGGUAGUGACAAGAAAUAACAACGCGGGGCUAUGUCUCGCGAUUGGAAUGAGAACAAUGUAAAAGCCUUAACGAGGAUCCACUGGAGGGCAAGUCUGGUGCCAGCAGCCGCGGUAAUACCAGCUCCAGUAGCGUAUAUUAAAGUUGUUGCAGUUAAAAAGCUCGUAGUUGAAAUUCUGUACGGAACAACGUCUUCGGAUGAUCGAGCCGUGCAUCCGCCUGAGCAGCAUGCUGGUACUUUGUUGCCGGUAUGUGAUCAGGCACUUUACCUUGAGCAAAUUAGAGUGUUCCAGGCAGGCGUCAGCCUGAAUAGUCCAGCAUGGAAUAAUAGAAGAGGACUGAAAACCACUGUUGGUGUUGUGGUAAUCAGUAAUGAUUAAUAGGGAUAGUUGGGGGCAUUCGUAUUUAAUUGUCAGAGGUGAAAUUCUAUGAUUUAUUAAAGACGAACCUAUGCGAAAGCAUUUGCCAAGGAUGUUUUCAUUGAUCAAGAACGAAAGUUAAGGGAUCAAAGACGAUUAGAUACCGUC
rnacentral:rRNA from 1 species